CUUUCCUAUCAAUUGUCCACCAAAUUCUCUCCAAAAAAUUUCACUCAAAUCACAUCAUAUUUCAACCCCUUCCUAAAUCCUUGUGAACCCAAGAAGAAACUAGACCUCCCCAAAAGCAUUUAAAUCUCUAGCCUCGGUGAAACCGAAAACAUCCCGACUUCUUCGAACCAAAUAUCGUCACGCGACAAAAAAUUGAAACUGAACAUGGGAUUGUUGGAGUUUAUUCAGUUCAUCAAAAGUAAGAAUACAACCUUAGUGAGGUAAUAUGUUAUAACCGUUAAUUCGUUGUGAGCGUAGAACGUUGUGUAUAGAUCUAUACGGGUUGACACUCUCGUCCGUAUGGUUGUUAGCUACAACAUUCGUGUGACGAGACAAAACGGAUGAUAACUUCUUGUUUAUAUCUUAUUUCUUUUAUCAUGACGUUGUACUUCACAGAGGCUUGAACAAGUCAUAGCUCGGUUAUUUACUCCAUAAAAUCUCAGAUACAUAAAUACUAAUACAAACUUCGCGAAGGUUGUAUGUAGUAUAACGUUUCGCCAUUGAUGGAUUUAUUUGUGUUUAUUUAUAUAAAAUAGACACUUUAUAUUACACAUCGCAAAAAGAUGUCGAUUAUUACUUAUGUAUUAUAAUUAAGUUAACAUAAAUGCUUGCAUCGGUUUACAAGUAUACAUCUCACUCAGAUUAUAUCGAUACUAUUUUUUUUACGAACAUCUUUUUACAAAUCUUCUAGGUUUUAUGAAACUUAUUUUAUAUAAAAUUUAUAGAGUCAAAAACCUGUGGAUCUCACCAACAAAUUUUGUUAUUGUAUUUUUAAAAUGUGUAUUCUCAGGUAACUAAGAAGCCGGAGGUCGGACAUCGGUUCCAAAGAAAUUAAUUUUCCUAUCAUUUGUUAUGAUUUUGGUUUAUUUUAAUGUUUCGUAAUUGAAUAAUUACUAUAUUGUAACAAUGUUUACAAAACCAAAGUUUGUAAAAUAUUAAUUUAUGAAUGUUCGAUAUAUGUGGUUGACUUGGGUUCCAAUUAUAAACGUCGCAACUCCGACAUUUCCGCCGUUGGUCAGGGUGUGACAGAUUGGUAUCUGAGCUAACGACUAUAGAGAACUAAGUAUUUUCUUAAAAAUACAACUAUAGUCUAGGGCUUACUCUAGUAGGUAUAGAUAUACCGCUAUCCUACAAAAACUUAAAAAUAGAAUUUUACUAAACAUAAAUUAAUAUUUAUUGAUUUUAUAAAAACUCAUCUGUGGGUAUAACGAAUUAUUUAAAAACUUAAUACACAAGAUUUUAGAUCAAUUAAUCAAAUAGGUUUCACAAUACAUAUGUUUUAUCACAACUAGACCUAGCUUGCGCACCUAAGUUUUAUUACGAUUGGGCCUUGUGCAUUAUCCAACGUAAAUGAAAUAAUUGAUAAACUAAAAACUUGGAGUUUUAAGGAAACUAAAACAAGUCAACAGACACAAAUAAUUGAAAGAACCAAAUAAUAUAUAAGUAUAAUAUUUUUAUGUUUAUCGAUGUACCUUGGAUUAUAAUAUUUUCUUUAA